AACGUAGGACACAAGCGUUAUCCGGAGUUACUGGGCGUAAAGGGCGUUUAGGCGGGUGAUUAAGUUCGCUAUGAAAGCGCCAGGCUAAACCUGGCGAGGCUGGCGGAUACUGGUCAUCUGGAGUAAGGAAGAGGGAGGUAGAAUUCCGCGUGUAGUGGUGAAAUGCGCAGAUAUCAGGAGGAACACCGGUGGCGAAGGCGGCUUGCUGGGCCAGUUCUGACGCUGAGGAGCGAAAGCGUGGGGAGCGAACAGG
rnacentral:rRNA from 1 species